CAACAGGGAUUGCCCUAGUAACGGCGAGUGAAGCGGCAACAGCUCAAAUUUGAAAUCUGGCUUUCGGGCCCGAGUUGUAAUUUGUAGAGGAUGAUUUUGAUGCGGUGCCUUCCGAGUUCCCUGGAACGGGACGCCAUAGAGGGUGAGAGCCCCGUCUGGUUGGAUGCCAAAUCUCUGUAAAUCUCCUUCGACGAGUCGAGUAGUUUGGGAAUGCUGCUCUAAAUGGGAGGUAUAUGUCUUCUAAAGCUAAAUACCGGCCAGAGACCGAUAGCGCACAAGUAGAGUGAUCGAAAGAUGAAAAGCACUUUGAAAAGAGAGUUAAAAAGUACGUGAAAUUGUUGAAAGGGAAGCGUUUAUGACCAGACUUGGGCUUGGUUAAUCAUCUGGGGUUCUCUCCAGUGCACUUUUCCAGUCCAGGCCAGCAUCAGUUUUCGCCGGGGGAUAAAGGCUUCGGGAAUGUGGCUCCCCUCGGGGAGUGUUAUAGCCCGUUGUGUAAUACCCUGGCGGGGACUGAGGUUCGCGCUUCUGCAAGGAU
rnacentral:rRNA from 1 species